rnacentral:rRNA from 1 species
AACGAACGCUGACGGCAUGCCUAACACAUGCAAGUCGAACGAGAUCUUCGGGUCUAGUGGCGCACGGGUGCGUAACGCGUGGGAAUCUGCCCUUUGGUUCGGAAUAACAGUUGGAAACGACUGCUAAUACCGGAUGAUGACGAAAGUCCAAAGAUUUAUCGCCAGAGGAUGAGCCCGCGUAGGAUUAGCUAGUUGGUGUGGUAAAGGCGCACCAAGGCGACGAUCCUUAGCUGGUCUGAGAGGAUGAUCAGCCACACUGGGACUGAGACACGGCCCAGACUCCUACGGGAGGCAGCAGUGGGGAAUAUUGGACAAUGGGCGAAAGCCUGAUCCAGCAAUGCCGCGUGAGUGAUGAAGGCCUUAGGGUUGUAAAGCUCUUUUACCCGGGAUGAUAAUGACAGUACCGGGAGAAUAAGCUCCGGCUAACUCCGUGCCAGCCGCCGCCGUAAAAC